rnacentral:misc_RNA from 1 species
GCUUCUUGGAUGAAGAAUCAGAUGUCCUUUGUUCACUUUCUACUACGCAGAGAAUGUACGCAUUUGCUGGUUGUUUGGUUGCUGGUCUGGCUUGUAUGUUUCUGUCUCUGAUUGUCUUUGCCAAGCCCAUCAAGUUUGCAGUAUUAUUUACCUUUGGCAAUGUGUUGGCAGUUGGAAGCACAGUCUUCCUCAUUGGACUUGGGCGGCAACUAAGUAUGAUGUUUGACUCAGUCCGUGUUUAUGCAACAGCUAUUUACAUUGGAUUUGUAGUUAUAUCUCUUAUUUGUGCUCUCUUGAUUCAUAGCAAGAUUUUGACAGUUAUUUCAAUUGUCUGUGAGAUUUGUGCCCUUAUUUGGCAUUUUUAAUGGUUGUCCCAGCCCCUUACAUUCUCCCUUUUGAGCCAUUUCAGGUACAGUCUCAGUUACAUUCCAUUUGCCCGAACAAUGGUGUCUAAUUUUAUGGUACGAUUCUGUGACACUGAGCUGUAAACAAUGCAAAUUCGAGGGGAUUGAUCACUCGGGAUUGGUUUCUGGCUUCGUCUUCUUUUUUUUUUUUUCCCCAAAACAUGAGUUGGCACCUUUUUUGAAAAACUGUUUACCUGAGUGCAGUUUUUGUGCAUCCCAGUUGUUAACAGGCAUUGCCUGGUUCAGGAUUUCUUGAUUGUCUCUGGUCUCAGUUUCUUUUGCCCCCAUCUCCCUUAACUUUCCUUGGGAUCGAAAGCUUUAAUGCUAAGGGCCAGGGAAGAAGGAAAAAAAAAAAAAAGUAGGGAACA